UACGUAGGGUGCAAGCGUUGUCCGGAAUUAUUGGGCGUAAAGAGCUCGUAGGCGGUCUGUCGCGUCUGCUGUGAAAACCCAGGGCUCAACCCUGGGCCUGCAUUCGAUACGGGCAGACUAGAGUAUGGCAGGGGAGACUGGAAUUCCUGGUGUAGCGGUGAAAUGCGCAGAUAUCAGGAGGAACACCGGUGGCGAAGGCGGGUCUCUGGGCCAAAACUGACGCUGGAGGAGCGAAAGCGUGGGGAGCGAACAGG
rnacentral:rRNA from 1 species